UUAAGUUCAGCGGGUAAUCCUGCCUGAUUUGAGGUCUAAAUCUAAAGAUUUGACUAGAAGGGUUGGCAGCUUCUACUGUUAUCUACAAUUCGGCCACCCUAAUGAAAGAGUGUCCUCAGCGAAUAGUCUAUUACGCUGAGUCAAUCCGAGGUUCGAAAUUGAGAUGCUAAUGCAUUACGAGCGAGCAGUCUUUCGACUGC
rnacentral:misc_RNA from 1 species